AUACUGCUGAGGAGUCCCAUAAUAGGACGAAACGGCCGUCCAGUGU
rfam:Schistosoma rodhaini strain Burundi genome assembly, scaffold: SROB_scaffold0003303